CUCACAAGAAAGAGAAGGAAAAGAUUUUGGGUCCCAGGCCCUGUCACUAAAACCUUCCCAACGAGGAGAACAGGCUUAGUUGCCCAGAGCACCUUCGGUCUCUCAGCUGAGCAACCAGGGCCUUCAACAUUGGAGGAAUUCCCAUGAUGGCCAGCAGAGAGAGCUCAAGAACCACAGACCCCCGAGGGGCGGGUUCCUCUGCUGGGCAGUGAUAGCCAGCAGAGGGCGCACCAUCUGCUUUUCUGACCCAGGGCACCUCAGAGCAGGAAGGGCUUUGCUUGCUCUCAGAGGACUCAGGCCUCUGCUGGUGCCUGAGUACAGAGACGAGAGCUGCAUUUCCAGCAGGUUCUGCCACCCGCCCCAGGGGAGACCUUGGGAGCUUAGCAGCAACUUGGCAUCUCCUGAGUCGCCAGAGAGAAGCUGCCUUGUUGUACUGAGUGCUGAGGAGGGGGCGCCGGGUGGCUUCCCUGGUCAAGCUGGUCGCUGAGUUACACAGGCCUUUGCAUUUUCUGGGCUGUUCCCGUGUUUCAUUCCACCCCUUCCCGGACACUGUUUGAACAAGACGUAUUUUACUAAAGGACUUGUGGAUUGCGGGGUCCCACGACAUCACCUCAUAGAUGCAAUCGAUGAUUUGUUCCAGAUCCAGGCUUGUUUCCGGGAAGAAACCCUAACAGAAAUUCAGAAGCACGGGAGCUGCAUUCAAGUAGGACGUGGAUCCAUGAAAUGCUCGUCUCACGACCUUCUAGAAGAAGGAGCUGGGACCCAUGUUCCGAGUCCUGCUGGACCCAGAGGCCAAGAUCCAGGCUUGUUUCCGGGAAGAAACCCUAACAGAAAUUCAGAAGCACGGGAGCUGCAUUCAAGUAGGACUUGGAUCCAUGAAAUGCUCGUCUCACGACCUUCUAGAAGAAGGAGCUGGGACCCAUGUUCCGAGUCCUGCUGGACCCAGAGGCCAAGGCUUAUUUCCCCCAGCAUAACAUUCUCUCUCUCCAUCCACCUUGUGGCAAAUGGCAAGAUUUCACGUUUUUACGGCUAAAUCAUAUUACAUUCCAUAGACCACAUCUCAAUUUAUUCAUCAGUUGAUGGGUGCUUGGAUAGUUUCUGUCAUUUGGCUUUUGUAGAAAAUGCUGCUGUAAACAUCACGGUGCAUGUAUCCCUUUGAAGAUUUUGUAUUCUUUGUGGA